GAACAAACUAAAAGAAAGAGAGAAAGAAAGAAAGAAAGAAAGAACGUCUAAACUUCUCCAACCAAUUCAGAUUAUGCUUGGCUGGGUUGGUCUUUUAGUUGUGAAUGUUUCAUUUAUCCUAUUU
rnacentral:ribozyme from 13 species